rnacentral:rRNA from 1 species
UACGAAGGGGGCUAGCGUUGUUCGGAAUCACUGGGCGUAAAGGGUGCGUAGGCGGGUUUUUAAGUCAGGGGUGAAAUCCUGGAGCUCAACUCCAGAACUGCCUUUGAUACUGAAGAUCUUGAGUUCGGGAGAGGUGAGUGGAACUGCGAGUGUAGAGGUGAAAUUCGUAGAUAUUCGCAAGAACACCAGUGGCGAAGGCGGCUCACUGGCCCGAUACUGACGCUGAUGCACGAAAGCGUGGGGAGCAAACAGG